GCUUGAGUGCUCCCCUGAGAUGGGGAGGUCAGAGGUGACAGGUCAGAGCUCUGAGGCAGUAACGUUAGUAAGGCCUUCCACUUUCCUGGAAGUUUAUACUUCUACGUUUUUUGGCAUCCCAAUAAGAUGUUAUUUAUAAAAAAAAAAAAAAAAAAAAGCAGCAGGCCAGAUUUAAUCUGUGGGUCUUUCUUUCUCCUGAUACAGAAAUUCAUAGUCUAAGCCACAUAUGGACAAGCAAAUAACUUCUAAAAUGAAUGAGGAGGAUUUUCAAGGCAAUAUUUCCAUAGGCUCUCAUGUUUGAAAGCUUUAUCAUCCUUUCGUUUUGCUUUUCUGUUAAAAUAAUAUUUUCUGCGUGUCAUUUGUUGAUGAUGAAUUAAGUUCUUCAUAUUUUGAGUGUGAAUUGUAAAUAAAAAUGAAAACUUUACUUUUAAAAAUCAUACCAAUUCAUAUGGAAUGCUUCUUGCAUAUAUCCGUUUUCUUAAUAUUUUCUAAUUUUAAUACUUCCUUUGUAGUCAUAUUUCACCGUGAUAUUUGCUAAUAUGUAACAUGCUAAUAGUCCCAAGAAAACAUUGAGUUUUUUUUCUUACUUUUUUUUCUCAGUGCUAAGGUUGAAGCUCAGUUUCACAAAAGCUACAUAUCCCAUAAACUUUAAAAAAAUUAAAACCAUAGCAUGAUAAAGCACCAAUAAGCCUUGAUUUUAAAAUGCUUUUUUUUUUUUUUUUGAAAUGAAACCAGCAACUACUAUAGGUUUUAAGUUGAUGCUAAUUCCUAAGAUCUUGGACCUUGGUAUUCAGUAUAUUAUUGGAAUCAUGUAAACCAAGGGGUUUUAACAUGCUCACCUUUGAAAAGAGAUGAUAAAGAAGGACCAAAGGAUACAAACACUCCCACUCUGUCCUUUAGUUUGCCUGGAAAUUGUGUUUUUGAAGGUUCCCUUCUGUGCAGAGUACUGGCAGAGUGUGGGAAAAGGGUUCCAUUGGGGUGAAUGAGGUGGCUUCAGACCUUGGCAAAUCAAAACAUUUAACAGUCUUCAGAUUUCUUGGUGUGUUGCUAAAUGUUGAUAUGAAAAGGGGCGUGUCUGUUUGAGUUUCUAGAUCUCAGAAACUAUACAUCUUCCCCAUUUGCUCUCAUUUUUUAAACACUUACUAAUACAUUAUUUUAUUCUAGUUAUUUUUUCUAAGGCAUCAAAGCUGCAGAAACACUCUAUUUUCCCAUACUCUGUGGUGGCUCAGAGCAAGCUCUGUGUGGUCCCUUCUGUCUUUUCCCCUGAUACACUGCAGCAUGACAGAGAUGAUAAUGCUUUAGUACUGAAGGCUGUGAUAAAGAAGGGCUGACUUCAUACUGUCACAGUUCAUUACAGUGCUUUACUCCAGCCUGAGGUAUAUGCAAACACACCUCCUUUGGAAAAACACCACUGGAGAGAAACAGGAGUUGUGGAAAAUAACUGCCAUCAGUCACAGAGAUGGGGAAAGGCAGACAGCACAGGAGGAAGCGCACCCCCUCAUGCCUCAGUAAGUUGUUUAUUUCAGUCAUGGAAGAGGUUGCUUCCUAUUUUCUCAAUGGGCCAUACUCAAAUCCAUCACAAAACCUUCCUACAUAAUUCAGGUUGAAGGCUUAGGUUUCAAAAAAGAAAGCUAUUUCCCAGUCAGAGAUAAAUCAGCAAGGCAGAAACACUGCUUUAUCAUUUUAACUUAAUUUAUUUUUAUUUUGGCGCCUGAGAUCCAGCAAACAAAGGCUAAGCAGAAACUGUACCUCUGAGCCACACCUCCAGACCAAUUAUAUAUGCGUCUUGUUAACCACUUUGAAAUAUUUUUUAAAUGGAUUUUGUUUAUAUAGUGUAGUAGAUUAAGGGUCAGCUCUCUGCAUAUCCAUCCUUGUGCAAAUCUAAGGACCUAUGAGAAUGUCCUGGGCUACCUAAGGUACUUACUGCUCCUCAGGAUUGUCCUGUAGCCUAGGAAAACAGAUGCAGAGAGAAGUCAGCGCACAGAUGGAGGCAGAGGCUGGAGUGACUGCUGCAGGCAGAAGACUGUGCCAGCGUCACCAGGAUCUGGGAGGAACUGGGAGGGGGGAAGGAUGGCUUGCCUAGACUUUAGGAAGGAACAGAGCCCUAGUAACAGCUUACCUCUGGAAAUUAAGAAAAACAAACUGGAGUAGCUUUAAGCUAUUAUGCUUGUGAUCAUUUGUUGCAACAGCCACAGAACUUAAUGCACACAGGGCCUAGCAAUGACUCUCCAAAAAAAAUAAAUGUGUGUUAGUUGCAAGCUGGUUACUGAGAGCAUGCAUGGUGAAUGCAGUUUACCCAGAGGGAGUGUGUAGAUGUGAGGUUGACCACUGCCGUCCUGUGUGGUCUGUUAGCAAAGAUUGUAAGGCCAGUGUUUAUCAUAACAAUGCCAGUUACAUAAGUCACAAGUGUUUGCUUUAGAGGGAAAACAUGUAAAACAAGCUACUCUUGACAUGCCUAUUAAUAUUUGUAAAAAGCUGAAGAAUACUGUAUGAAGGAUAUAUCUCAAGAAUAUAUGUCUUUUCUACAAAUGCCAAGAGAGCAGAACUAGGACAUCCCAAAUGCUAUGAAUCUACCUGGGCAUUUUAAUAAUCUAGUUUUAGCCCAGGCUGUCUGAAUUUUUACAUGAAAAUAUUCCUCUAAUUUUACAAUGGAAGCUAACUGGUGAACAGGUCCUAGUACACAACACUCCCACACAAAAUGAGACUAAUAAAGUAUCCAUUCAUCUUAAAUAUACAAGGUAAUGUUGUUAAUGGAUCCAUAGAGCUCUGAGAACUCUUCUACAAUCCAGACUCUGAACACUCCACCACCAACAGAACUAGCUCAAUAUGAGCAAUCGCUCUUACUUCCGGUAACCAGCAUCUGCUUGUCUUUGGGAAUUUGCUUUUUCUAGAUGCUUCACAGAAACUGAAUGAGAAGGGACUUGAUCUUCUGUAUCAGCUUUCUUUAAUGCAGUUUAGUAUUUUGGAGGUUUGUACAAAGUACAAUCAAUACUUUUUUUUCCCAGUAAAUUAUACUCACCCCUGUUCAGAAACUAGACAACGGUAGUGUCAUGGAUAACACUGCUCUAUCCAUUCCAGAAUAAACAGUCUUAACUUUUACUUUUUUAGAAGGAUGGCCAAGUACCUAGGAGAUAAAGAACUGAAUUAUAUACUGAGGUCUUCCUCCGCCCCCAAAUUCUUCCAAGCUGGCUAUAGCAGUUAACAUAUCCCAACAUAUAAAGUUCACUCACUUCCAUCUUCCACGGUACUCCUGUGGUCAUUUAUUUACUUAUUUACUUAUUUAUUUGUUCCAGACAUCCUAGUGGAUGCCAAGUAGUGUCUCGCUUCCACUAAUGACUGACAGAACCGACUGGGUCCUGUUAAGCAGUCCAGAUAGACUUAUAUUGUUAGCUUACUAUCACUCCUUGACUCACGUAUGUGUGUGUAUACUCAUACAUUGUUUAAUUAUUUUUUCCCGUAACCAAGAACAGCAUAUAGCAUACUAUAAGAGAAGGGGUGAGGUGGUAGGAAGAGUUG
rnacentral:lncRNA from 1 species